rnacentral:rRNA from 1 species
UACAGAGGUCCCAAGCGUUGUUCGGAUUCACUGGGCGUAAAGGGUGCGUAGGCGGUCGGGUAAGUCUGAUGUGAAAUCUCCGAGCCUAACUCGGAAACUGCAUUGGAUACUAUUCGGCUUGAGGUCUGGAGGGGGGACUGGAAUUCUUGGUGUAGCAGUGAAAUGCGUAGAUAUCAAGAGGAACACCAGUGGCGAAGGCGAGUCCCUGGACAGAUCCUGACGCUGAGGCACGAAAGCUAGGGGAGCAAACAGG